UUAGGCGACUGAGGAGGACAUUACCUAGAGUUGCGGGCUUUGCCUGCCAUCUCUUACCCAUGUCUUUUGAGUACCUUACGUUUCCUCGGCGGGUCCGCCCGCCGACUGGACAAUUUAAACCACUUGCAGUUGCAAUCAGCGUCUGAAAAAACUUAAUAGUUACAACUUUCAACAACGGAUCUCUUGGUUCUGGCAUCGAUGAAGAACGCAGCGAAAUGCGAUAAGUAGUGUGAAUUGCAGAAUUCAGUGAAUCAUCGAAUCUUUGAACGCACAUUGCGCCCCUUGGUAUUCCAUGGGGCAUGCCUGUUCGAGCGUCAUUUGUACCUUCAAGCCUUGCUUGGUGUUGGGUGUUUGUCUCGCCUCUGCGCGUAGACUCGCCUCAAAACAAUUGGCAGCCGGCGUAUUGAUUUCGGAGCGCAGUACAUCUCGCGCUUUGCACUCAGAACGACGACGUCCAAAAGUACAUUUUUACACUCUUGACCUCGGAUCAGGUAGGGAUACCCGCUGAACUUAAGCAUAUCAUAAGACCGGAGGAA
rnacentral:rRNA from 1 species